AGGUAGGAAUACCCGCUGAACUUAAGCAUAUCAAUAAGCGGAGGAAAAGAAACCAACAGGGAUUGCCCUAGUAACGGCGAGUAAGCGGCAACAGCUCAAAUUUGAAAUCUGGCUUCGGCCCGAGUUGUAAUUUGCAGAGGAUGUUUCUGGCGCGGUGCCUUCCGAGUUCCCUGGAACGGGACGCCACAGAGGGUGAGAGCCCCGUAUGGUUGGACACCAAGCCUGUGUGAAACUCCUUCGACGAGUCGAGUAGUUUGGGAAUGCUGCUCAAAAUGGGAGGUAAAUCUCUUCUAAAGCUAAAUACCGGCCAGAGACCGAUAGCGCACAAGUAGAGUGAUCGAAAGAUGAAAAGCACCUUGAAAAGGGGGUUAAACAGUACGUGAAAUUGUUGAAAGGGAAGCGCUUGUGACCAGACUUGCGCCGGGCGGUUCAUCCGGGGUUCUCCCCGGUGCACUCCGCCCGGUUCAGGCCAGCAUCGGUUCUCGUUGGGGGAUAAGAACGAUAGGAACGUGGCCCUCCUUCGGGUGGGUGUUAUAGCCUGUCGUACGAUACCCUGACGGGGACCGAGGUUCGCGCUCCGCAAGGAUGCUGG
rnacentral:rRNA from 1 species